rnacentral:rRNA from 1 species
UACGUAGGGAGCAAGCGUUGUCCGGAAUCAUUGGGCGUAAAGCGCGCGUAGGCGGCCCCGUAAGUCCGCUGUGAAAGUCAAAGGCUCAACCUUUGAAAGCCGGUGGAAACUGUGGGGCUAGAGUCCGGAAGAGGCGAGUGGAAUUCCUGGUGUAGCGGUGGAAUGCGCAGAUAUCAGGAGGAACACCAAUAGCGAAGGCAGCUCGCUGGGACGGUACUGACGCUGAGGUGCGAAAGCGUGGGGAGCAAACAGG